GAUGAACGCUGGCGGCGUGCCUAAUACAUGCAAGUCGAGCGAACAGACGAGGAGCUUGCUCCUCUGACGUUAGCGGCGGACGGGUGAGUAACACGUGGAUAACCUACCUAUAAGACUGGGAUAACUUCGGGAAACCGGAGCUAAUACCGGAUAAUAUAUUUAACCGCAUGGUUCAAUAGUGAAAGACGGUUUUGCUGUCACUUAUAGAUGGAUCCGCGCCGCAUUAGCUAGUUGGUAAGGUAACGGCUUACCAAGGCAACGAUGCGUAGCCGACCUGAGAGGGUGAUCGGCCACACUGGAACUGAGACACGGUCCAGACUCCUACGGGAGGCAGCAGUAGGGAAUCUUCCGCAAUGGGCGAAAGCCUGAAGGAGCAACGCCGCGUGAGUGAUGAAGGUCUUCGGAUCGUAAAACUCUGUUAUUAGGGAAGAACAAAUGUGUAAGUAACUAUGCACGUCUUGACGGUACCUAAUCAGAAAGCCACGGCUAACUACGUG
rnacentral:rRNA from 1 species